GAUGAACGCUAGCGGCAGGCUUAAUACAUGCAAGUCGAGGGGCAACAGGGGUAGCAAUACCUGCUGGCGACCGGCAAACGGGUGCGGAACACGUACAGAACCUUCCUUUGAGUGGGGGAUAGCCCGGAGAAAUCCGGAUUAAUACCCCAUAGUAUUAUUGUGUGGCAUCACAUAAUGAUUAAAGAUUUAUUGCUCAGAGAUGGCUGUGCGGCUGAUUAGGUAGUUGGUUGGGGUAACGGCCCACCAAGCCAUCGAUCAGUAACUGGUGUGAGAGCACGACCAGUCACACGGGCACUGAGACACGGGCCCGACUCCUACGGGAGGCAGCAGUAAGGAAUAUUGGUCAAUGGACGCAAGUCUGAACCAGCCAUGCCGCGUGAAGGAUGAAGGCCCUCUGGGUUGUAAACUUCUUUUAUCUGGGAAGAAAUGCAUCUUUUCUAAGGUGUUUGACGGUACCAGAGGAAUAAGCACCGGCUAACUCCGUGCCAGCAGCCGCGGUAAUACGGAGGGUGCAAGCGUUAUCCGGAUUCACUGGGUUUAAAGGGUGCGUAGGUGGGAAUGUAAGUCAGUGGUGAAAUCUCCGUGCUUAACACGGAAACUGCCAUUGAUACUAUGUUUCUUGAAUUUUCUGGAGGUCAGCGGAAUAUGUCAUGUAGCGGUGAAAUGCUUAGAUAUAACAUAGAACACCAAUUGCGAAGGCAGCUGGCUACAGGGAUAUUGACACUGAGGCACGAAAGCGUGGGGAUCAAACAGGAUUAGAUACCCUGGUAGUCCACGCCCUAAACGAUGGAUACUCGACAUUUGUGAUAGACAAUAAGUGUCUGAGCGAAAAG
rnacentral:rRNA from 1 species